rnacentral:rRNA from 1 species
CACGCAGGCGGUCGUGUAAGUUUGGGGUUACAGCUCCCGGCUCAACUGGGAGAGCGCCUUGAAGACUGCAGGACUUGAGGGCCAGAGAGGGACACAGAAUUCCGGGUGUAGUGGUGAAAUGCGUAGAUAUCCGGAGGAAUACCAAAGGCGAAGGCAGUGUCCUGGCUGGUGACUGACGCUGAGGUGCGAAAGCUAGGGGAGCGAACGGGAUUAGAUACCCCGGUAGUCCUAGCCGUAAACGAUGACCACUAGGUGUGGGAGGUAUCGACCCCUUCCGUGCCGCAGCAAACGUGAUAAGUGGUCCGCCUGGGGAGUACGGUCGCAAGAUUAAA